rnacentral:lncRNA from 10 species
UUCGCCGAGACCUCAAGCCCCGGCAUGCAGCGGGGCUCCUGGGGCCUGUCGGGAAGGGGCCUGGCGCGCGGGGCCCGCCGGGACUGGGGGUGUGCGGCUGCGCAGACUUGGUAACGCGAGAGCGCGCGGGGAGGGUGUGUCACGCCUCCCGAGACUGGGGCUGUGCGGCCUCACGGAGAAACUGAGGCAGGCGCGAAGCGUCGAGUGCGCGCGUGGCCCUGCAGGCAGGCGGAGACCCUGGUGGCUCCCAUACACGUAACAGCACUCACUGCUCUUUGACGUUAGUGAAUAGACCGUAAGCUCCCUGGAGCAGGGACCUUAUCCCAGCGUCUACCGCGGCGCCCGUCACCUAGCUUCCUCCUUGGAGGGACCUCAGAAGUCCCAGGCUUCAUAGUGUCAAGUUCAACAGAAAGAGUAGUUUUCAUCUUUCCACAGUUCUUAGAAAAGUCCUGAGACUGAGUUUUACUGGGUUGGGAGAAGAACAAUCACCAAAAAUGCAGAGUGGGGAGCGGGCCUGAGUGUUGGACCUCUCCUUAAACAAACCUUCCUGCAGCCUCCAGGUCACCAUCCUUGUCACCUCUACUGCCAGAGACAUCGAGUGCCUUGAAGUCCUGGGCUUUCCGGGGAUUCUGUGGGCUUCCAGGACUGUGCUGCCGUGCUUCCUCUCCUUUAAAGCAAGUCUUCUAUCAUCACCAGCGAGGGGCCAUGGAAGGAGCAGACUAGACUGCUCAAUCUGCUGUCUCCACCUGGCGGACCUACCAUGUGAUUCACUUACAGACAGUUGGUUUGUUUUUGUUUUUUGUUUCUCUUUUUGACACUGAGUUUCGCUCUUGUUGCCCAAGCCGGAGUGCAGUGGCUCGAUCUCGGCUCACCACAACCUCUACCUCCCGGGUUCAAGUGAUUCUCCUGCCUCAGCCACCCGAGUAGGUGGGAUUACAGGAACCCACCACCACACCUGGCUGAUUUUCUACUUUUAGUAAAGAUGGGGUUUCUCUAUGUUGAUCAGGCUGGUCUGAAACUACCGACUUCAGGACCGCCUGCCUCGGCCUUCCAAAGUGCGGGGAUUACUGGCAUGAGCCACUGCCCCUGGUCAAGAAUUGGUUUUUAAUGCUUCCUUCCUCCAUACAACAGAAUUCUUUUCAAUAAUGAUCAUUAAACAAAAGGAAUAAUAAUAAUGUCCAGAAAAGAACUGCUGUAGAUAGUGAAAAUUUUUUUAUUGAACUUUGUAUAUGUAAUCAUGCUGGCACAUAUGUUAAAAAAAGGUAAAAAGUCAUGGAUUAAUUUUUUUAAUCAUAAUUUUUAAAGGGGAUUAUUUUACUGCAGUUCACACACUGUUUCAUUGUUUUACAUUUUAAACAGAAAUAGCUGGGCGGAUCACCUGAGGCCAGGAGUUUGAGACUAGCCUGGCCAACAUGGUGAAACCCCGUCUCUAUGAAAAAUACAAAAAUUAGCCAGGCGUGGUGGCACAUAUCUGUAGUCCCAGCUACUUGGGAGGCUGAGGAGAAGAAUCGCUUGAACCGGGGAGGCAGAGGUUGCAAUGAGCUGAGAUCGCACCACUGCACUCCAGCCUGGGUGACAGAGUGAGACUCCAGCUCAAAUAAAUAAAUAAAUAAAUAAAAAUUUUAAACAGAAAUAAAAACUUCAAGUUACCUAUAAAAGAAUAACAGAACUGAAGUAAUUCAAGUUCUGUUUCUUCCCCUGCAGAAUCACUGUUAGCAUUGUUUAUUUUGAAUCUACUGCUUAAAAGCAGGAACGUGUUGUGUGCAGACCAUUGACAGGUUGGAAAUAGGAGUUCAGAGAGUGCUUACGUGAUUCCACACUUACAAGGAAUGUAUGUAGCUGAAUCUGCCAGCACUGGGGGCCAACCUUGUAACUGGGAGUUCUCUGAAUUAACUUCCAUUAGCAUGCAUUCUUGAUUAAAAGGUAAGUAAUAAACAUGCGCUAACUCAAAGUGUGCACAUACACACUGAAAAUGUAGCAUGUUUUAUUACAUAUUGAUUUUAUAUAUUUUCUUAAGUAUACAUUUAUUCUAUAUAUAAAUGUGAAAUACAUACAUAAUGUGAGUAUAUAUGUGUGUGUAUGUUUACAUAUAUAUAUAUAAAAUGUCUCCAUUG